rnacentral:rRNA from 1 species
UACAGAGGGGGCAAGCGUUGUUCGGAAUUACUGGGCGUAAAGGGCGCGUAGGCGGCCUUCUAAGUCAGACGUGAAAUCCCCCAGCUUAACCUGGGAACUGCGUCUGAUACUGGAAGGCUUGAGUGCGGGAGAGGGAUGUGGAAUUCCAGGUGUAGCGGUGAAAUGCGUAGAUAUCUGGAGGAACACCGGUGGCGAAGGCGGCAUCCUGGACCGACACUGACGCUGAGGCGCGAAAGCGUGGGGAGCAAACAGG